UACGUAGGGUGCGAGCGUUAAUCGGAAUUACUGGGCGUAAAGCGUGCGCAGGCGGUUUUUUAAGCCGGAUGUGAAAUCCCCGGGCUUAACCUGGGAAUGGCAUUUGGGACUGCAAGGCUGGAGUGCGGCAGAGGAGACUGGAAUUCCCGGUGUAGCAGUGAAAUGCGUAGAUAUCGGGAGGAAUACCGAUGGCGAAGGCAGGUCUCUGGGCUGACACUGACGCUCAUGCACGAAAGCGUGGGGAGCAAACAGG
rnacentral:rRNA from 1 species